GCCCCGGUAGCCUAAUGGAUAGGGCACCAGCCUCCUAAGCUGGCGAUUCCGGGUUCGAGUCCCGGCCGGGGCG
rnacentral:tRNA from 1 species